CACAUUUAUUGUAAUCAACAGUAACUGGAUGUUUCUGAGGUGUUUUGAUUGGACUCAAAAGUAUUACAAUCAGUUUGGAGACAAAAACACAAUCUGCAUUUUAGUUUAAGUAUGACACUGAUGACUUAAAAAAAAACUAUAUACAAACGUUCUAUAUAAAGUUUGCCUCCAAAGUAUUUCUCUUUCUCUUUCUUUUUUGCAGGGGAGAUGGGGUCUCAUUCUGUUGCCCAGGCUGGAGUGCAGAGGCACAAUCAUAUUAUACUACAACCUCAAACUCCUAGGCUCAGGAUAAAACAAGAUUUAUUUUAUUCUGACCUGGAAAUGAGAAAAAAUAUGCCACCUACUAUUAAUCCAUAUGAUAUAAAUGAAGAAACAAAUGGUGAAAGGGAGAAAGCUCUUCUUUACAGGAGUAUGUGAUCUAAUAAAUAAGAAUAAAGUUUUUUUAAAAAUCA
rnacentral:lncRNA from 10 species